rfam:Neofusicoccum parvum TCRNP2 chromosome Tnknown NP2_03_scaffold_283, whole genome shotgun sequence.
AGCUGAAUGGCGCAGCGGAAGCGCGCCGGGCUCAUAACCCGGAGGACAGUGGAUCGAAACCACUUUCAGCUA